UACAGAGGGUGCAAGCGUUGUUCGGAAUCAUUGGGCGUAAAGCGCACGUAGGCGGUCUUGUAAGUCGAAUGUGAAAGCCCGGGGCUUAACUCCGGAAGUGCAUCCGAUACUGCAAGACUUGAGUCCCGGAGAGGGUGGUGGAAUUCCUGGUGGAGAGGUGAAAUUCGUAGAUAUCAGGAGGAACAUCGGUGGCGAAGGCGACCACCUGGACGGAGACUGACGCUGAGGUGCGAAAGCGUGGGGAGCAAACAGG
rnacentral:rRNA from 1 species